rnacentral:tRNA from 1 species
CCUGGUGGCUUAGACGGUAAAGCAUCUGUCUACAAUACGGGAGACCUAGGUACGAUCCCUGGGUCAGGA